AGAUGGCCAAGCCCUUUUCUAUUUGCUCUGUUCUUAAGUGCAAAGCCCCACAUUACCCAUUGUUUUAGAUCUGCUUACUCCAUGCAUUUUACCCUCACAUAAGAGUCUGCCACCUUUGGUAUAGAAUGAACAAGAGGAGGGAAAUGUUAAAGGAUUUAAAUAUGAUUGAAAAUGACUUUCCUGGAACGUCAAUCACAGUUUAAGUGGGAGCUACUUUUUCUUUCACUAAUGAGCUGUUUCAUCCCUUGUAACUAGCAUUAUUUUGUCUUUGUGGUUUCCAAUGGGUGUCCGCUAUGUGCUAUUCGGAAAGGAAAGAGAAGAAGAAAUUAGGAAAUUGGGUCGUGAUGGGUCGGCUUCGUUAUCUUGGCAGCAUUUUACCAAGAAAUCAGUUUUGUUUAGUCCUGGACAGGGUAGGCCAUGCUGUGGUAACAAAUCAACCCUGAAAUUUCUGUAGCUCAGCAAGCAGUUUACUUAUUGCUCACCCAGAGAUGGAUGGAGGCUGGCAGGGAUUCGCCUUCAUCCUGUGAUUCAGCAAGGCAGGCUCCUCCACCCGUGGUAGCGCCAUGUCAAUAUGUAGCUUCUCAGGUCACCGCUAGAGGGGAAGAGAAGAAUGGAAAGUUGCACCAGCUCUUAACAGCCUCAACUCAGAGAUGACACGUGUCUCUUCUGCUCCCAAUCCCUCGGCCAGAAUUAGUAAUGUGGGCUGCUGAAAAAUGUCAGGAGUGCAUGGAUAUUUGGAGAGUGCUGUUUCUGCCACCUUAUUUCAUACCAAACCACAGAAACAAAAUUGGUGACUCUUCUUAGUAAAUUAGAACAGAGUAUCAAAAGGAUUAUUAGGAUCAGAGCAUCUGGAAUGACCAAUGAGUCCAUUAAGUCAGGAGAAUUAGAACAGAACCAUUAUGAGGAAUCGUAAUGGUCAGAAUGGGAACAAACUGACCAAAGGGCUUACUGGAUGAAGCUAACCAGAUAGAGUGAGACCAGAGAGAAGAUGUGGCCCAGGAAGUCAUAACCUCCUGUUCCUGACUUGGACUUUCUGUAAGUGUGAUUCCCAACCUGGUUACUCAUCAGAAUCAUACAAGGAACACUAGAAAAGCCUUUGUCCUAUGUCUGGAGACUUCUUGGAAGCUGGAGCACACAAAUAGCUACAGCAAACUUGAGGAAUGGGCAUGAAUAGACUGGCUUCGGGGAACCUGCCAGCUUGGCCGUGUGGCCAAGGUAAUAGGCAAGCCAAGGCACAGCUAGAGCUCAGAGCUGGAGGGGAAAUUAAAGCAGCAAAUGUAGAAACAUUAAGCCUGAAGAGGCGACAACGUUGAAUUCUAAAAUGCAGGCCAAAGCUCAGACUGCAAGCUGUCUGGCUGCUCCGGGUGUGCCCAGAAGUCAAAGUCCAGCAGGGGCAAAGGUGGAGGUGUGGUCCUGCAUGUGGGGUGUUGGGGGGAUGUGGAAGAGGAGGUGCUUUAAGAUCCAAAGAUUCCAGCUGCCCUGAUCUACCCUUGGAAGAAUAAAAGGCUAGGAACUGGACAAGUCAGGCUCAAGUCCAAGCUGCCUAAGGAAUCAGGGAAAGAAUGGAGCUAAGAGUGGGAGGUCAGGGCAGUAUCUAAAAAUCCAGGAUAGCAGCAAAGCUGGCGGUGGCCCCUGACUCUGGUAAGGGCAGCCUGCAGCACCAUGCCAAGGGGGGCCUGACUGAUCAUGCCCUGCAUUUGCAAACAAGGAUUAGUAGGGUAUGAGUAGGAUUCUGCUGGUGCCUGGGAAGGCAAUGCCAUCUACAUCUUUACAAAGUUUUAACAAAGGCCUGAAGGACACAACCUUCCCCAAAGUCCUGACGUCGCUGUUUGCUGGCAACAAAUAGAGUCAAAAGAAGAGAGGCACAGAAUGUGCCACGGGUGUGCUGCAUACAGCCCCGAUGACCACAAGGCCUUCUUGGGUCAAGUUCUGCCAUCUCUGGUUAAGAUGGGCUCACCCUCUAGGACCUUGAUUGAGUCCUCAGACCACCAAGAGUGCCCCACCAAGAGCCUCCCUCUUCUGGUGACUCGUGCCUGCUUCCCGUGGAGAGCUCCAGAAGGGAGGAAACUGUGAGGAGGUGGAGAACGUGGCAGGGAUCCUAACUUUCUUACUGAAGGAAGUUCUUAACAAGUACCCAUCUGCCUUCAGGGAAGAAAACAUAACUCAUUUUGGUCUUUCAAAUUCAGUUCUCAAAACCAAAUCCUGUUGUCAGCAAUCUGUGUCCCAACGCCUUCUUCAGCAACAGCAUUUUCCCUGUGGAAUUAGUUUCCAAUGUUCUUUCUUAAAUAAACCACUGAAGAUUAAAAGGAA